UGGGGAUAAUACUGGAUAGGCAAUUAUUCCUGUAAUGGUUUUUUGUUUAAAUGUUUUUUCGCCUAAGGAUGAGUCUGCGGCCGAUUAGGUAGUUGGUUAGGUAAUGGCUUACCAAGCCGUUGAUCGGUACGGGUUGUGAGAGCAAGAGCCCGGAGAUGGAACCUGAGACAAGGUUCCAGGCCCUACGGGGUGCAGCAGGCGCGAAACCUCCGCAAUGUGAGAAAUCGCGACGGGGGGAUCCCAAGUGCCAUUCUUAACGGGAUGGCUUUUCAUUAGUGUAAAGAGCUUUUGGAAUAAGAGCUGGGCAAGACCGGUGCCAGCCGCCGCGGUAACACCGGCAGCUCUAGUGGUAACAAUUUUUAUUGGGCCUAAAGCGUCCGUAGCCGGUUUAAUAAGUCUCUGGUGAAAUCCUGCAGCUUAACUGUGGGAAUUGCUGGAGAUACUAUUAGACUUGAGACCGGGAGAGGUUAGAGGUACUCCCAGGGUAGAGGUGAAAUUCUGUAAUCCUGGGAGGACCGCCUGUUGCGAAGGCGUCUAACUGGAACGGUUCUGACGGUGAGGGACGAAAGUUAGGGGCGCGAACCGGAUUAGAUACCCGGGUAGUCCUAACUGUAAACGAUGCGGACUUGGUGUUGGGGUGGCUUUGAGCUGCUUCAGUGCCGAAGGGAAGCUGUUAAGUCCGCCGCCUGGGAAGUACGGUCGCAAGACUGAAACUUAAAGGAAUUGGCGGGGGAGCAAAUCCCGCGGCCA
rnacentral:rRNA from 1 species